CAAAAGUUUUCUCUAGCGGAGUUACUAUCACGAUGCUGAACACUUCAUCCCCCUUUUUAUCUGCCCCAGUAUUUAUUGUCCAUGAGCAAAUACUUAUGUUUUUAUAAAUUCCUUUAGAGUGAAUCACCCUUCUCCUGUUUAAACCAGAAAAGACCACAUCAAACAGUAUUACCCCAUCUAAAAUUAAUCAUUAAUUUGAAGUAUUUGACAAUAUUUUGCCAGCAUUGUUUCUUCCUCCCUCCUAUUAAUAAAGGUUAAGCUUCGGUACCAGCACUUUUGCAGGAUGCUCGUGGAUGGUGGUGUCGCUGGGAGCUCACCAGCCCCAAACUUGCCUGGGGCAGCACAGGCACAGAGCUGCAGGUCUGGACCUGGCUUCCAGGCAGGUGUAAGUGGCAUUGCUGCUGCCUGCUCCUGAUGUGGAGUGAGCAGCUGAGCCGCCUCACUGCCUGGUGAAGCCACAGGACGCUUCACCCCGCAGCUGGGGAACUAAUGCACACAGGGGCUGGUGUCAGAGCCUUUCUGCUCUCUGGGAAGCACAGAAAGGCUCGUCUGGUCUAGAGGAUCAUAAAAGAACAUGGAGCCUUCCUCUGCCUGCUCUUGCUGCAACCCCUACAAGCACAGUUUCAAAUCAGGCCAAAAUGUGAUCUGAGAUGCAUGCAUGUGGCUUCUAUUCACAUGAGACAGAAUCCAGCCUUUAAACACCACAUUUUGUACUUUGGUUUUGCUUUAUGUCUCAGGCGUGUGUUUUGCUAGGACACUGCAUUUCAUUUAAAAAUUAUUUUUGACAAAGCUUUAUGGUUCACAAAUUCCUCCAUGCCAGGUCCUUCAACACACAUCCCAGAGCUGCUGGCCUCUUCAGAGGGGUGGUUUUGCUUCCCACUCACAAACAAGCCAUGAAAUUACCUUGGUUUUUCCAAUGUCUUUGUGGCAGGGCAUUUUCCUGACACUUUUCUGACAUUCUGCUGCAGCCUUUGGAUGGUUUGCUAUCUAGCUUGCUUGGAUGCUUUGCUAUUUAGAGAGCAUGGCUGGUUGCUUAAGUCAUAUGGCACUGCUUCUUGCUUUCGAACAGAUGGGUAAAAUGUACAAACACACAAUGGCACAUGAUGAAGGCAGAAUAUAGCCUGCUGUCCACAAAUAACACACAGAAGGAAAGAUCAGGUAUGGUAAGCUGGCCAUGCUGACACCAUUCAGGCAGACUGAAUGAGAUGUGGGUCUCUAGCAUUUCAUGAACGCAUUUAGCUAUUAAUCUGGGAGUUAAAUAGGGCAGACGGGAGCUUUUCGCACAGUUUCCACAUUGCAGCAGUCAGUGAGGUCCCCUCAAGAUCCUUCUCCAGGUGCCUAUAGCAGACAUGCUCUGAAUCCACAGGUGCCUUCAGGUCUGAGGAGAAAACAGGCAUAAACUUCUGGGCAUGCAGCACAAGCUGUGUUUUCUAGCUCUCUCCUUGUCCUCUCUUGCCUGUGGUAUCCAGAGUGUAUGUCACAGAGGACAGAGAAGUCACUGCCAUAUGCUGCAUGCCUGGCUGUGGCUUGUGCUGCUCAGGAGUGUGAUGGAGACGGUGCCAGGCAAGGAAUGAGCAUUAUUACCUUGCCAAUCUCCAGCAGGGAGAUUUCACAGGCUGGCUGACCCAUCAUAAAGCCAUUGGCAAGGGGUGCUGCUUGCCUAGGAGGAAAUCACCUACCGAAGUCUCUCCAGAUUUACACCAAAAGGGCCCUAUUUUACUGCAGAGAGAGCAGGACAAAGGGUACCGUAACAACAGGCUGGGCUACUCACUGUGACAUCCCUGAAGUGGGCAUCCCUGCCCGCUCUGGUUGCUGGCAUUUCUCCACCAGGUUUAUCACUCUAUCAGCUAUGUGAAUACACCUUUUUUAUGGCAUGAGCCUUUCAGUGGACUUUCUGAAAGACAACGAUGGGCCUUUGAAGGAUUCCUGCCUUCCUCUCUGCUGCCAGGCAGCCUGAACCCAUUUCUGGAGUAGCUGAUGAAAACACUGCCCUUCAUUGCAGGGAAGGAAGGACAAGGCCCUUGAAAUCUCAUUUCAGAACAUUUCGUCAUUUGGAUUACAUGUGAAAAUAAAUGUCAUUUCAUACAA